GAUGAACGCUAGCUACAGGCUUAACACAUGCAAGUCGCGGGGCAGCAUGGGGGUUGCUUGCAAUCCCCGAUGGCGACCGGCGCACGGGUGAGUAACGCGUAUCCAACCUGCCCUUCACCACGGGAUAACCCGGCGAAAGUCGGACUAAUACCGUAUGUUGUCCAUUGACGGCGUCCGAUUUGGACGAACGGUUUGGCGGUGAAGGAUGGGGAUGCGUCCGAUUAGCUGGACGGCGGGGUGACGGCCCACCGUGGCGACGAUCGGUAGGGGUUCUGAGAGGAAGGUCCCCCACACUGGAACUGAGACACGGUCCAGACUCCUACGGGAGGCAGCAGUGAGGAAUAUUGGUCAAUGGGCGUAAGCCUGAACCAGCCAAGUAGCGUGCAGGAUGACGGCCCUAUGGGUUGUAAACUGCUUUUAUGCGGGGAUAAAGUGGCCCACGUGUGGGUUUUUGCAGGUACCGCAUGAAUAAGGACCGGCUAAUUCCGUG
rnacentral:rRNA from 1 species